AUGCUCUGCUUUCUCUUCAGUUCGUAUAAAUCUUUCGCCUUUUACUAAAGAUUUCCGUGGAGAGGAUAUUAUUGAUGAGUUUCAUAGCCAAUUUUUUAAGAGCUUUGCUUUGGCAAGUGG